rnacentral:lncRNA from 1 species
GUCCGCCGAGCUCUUGGCACAACAACCGAUCACAAGAAGCACGCUGUUUAUUCCACGGAUCUAGCAGCACCAGAGCAUCUUAAUUUUAUUCGACGCUUCCGCGACAGCUCAGGCGGCGGAGGGCGGCGGUGGGAGUGGGAUGCCGGCGACGGUCUUCUUGAACGCGGGGCGGGCGGCGAUGUCCUCCCACCAGGCCUUGACGUGUGGCCUCUCGGCGACGAGGCCCGCCUUGGGUGUCUUGCUGAGGUAGAACAGGUAGGACAUGUGGUUGGCGUCGGCGAGCGUGAACUCGUCGCCGGCGAGGUACUUGUUCUUCGCAAGGUGGUCCUCGUAGAUGUCGAGCACCUUGGCGAGCUGGUGCGCGUGCUUGUCCACCACCAGCGGGUCGGGGGCGCCGCCCAUCAUGGGCUUGACGAGGAGGUGGUACACCAGCGGGGAGGCGUUGGGGUAGAAGUGGUGCGACUCCACCUCCAGCCACACCUCCAGCUUCGCCGACGGGAUGGUCGGGAGGAGGUCGGCGCCGUCCGACUUGUACUUGGUCGCGAUGUACCGGUUGAUCGCACGGGACUCUGCAUGCGAUGUGUUCUCAGAACUUCAGAUUCGGAAAUUUGGUGACUCAUCAUAAGGCUGACACGCGCGAGCAUCAACGCCAACAGAGGUUGGAACAGAUGGACAGCAGCAGUAGAAUUCAGUCUCGUUUUGAUCAAAUCAAUUCUACGAGUGGAAACGUGAUAGGUUGUUUGAGCUGUUAUGCAGCUUAGCACCUACUCCACGGGAGGAAAACGACAUUGAUGUGUACAGCCUGGAGAUAUUUUUGCUUUCUGAUGAAUGAAAUCCAAGCGGGUCAACCAUCUUUUUUUUUUUAAAAAAAAGGAACGACCAAGGUAUAACGAAGAUACUGUUCCUAGAUCUGGGGAUGGAUCUAGUGCUUCAUUUUUUAAAAUGACCGAGUAGUUCCUAAUAUAAUCAACUACUAUACGCACGGGAAGAACGAGCAGUGAUGUCAGUUACGUACCGUAGAGGACUUCAUCCCCGUCCUCCAGCGCAGGGAUCUGGCCGAAAGGCUGCGAACAGGGAGGGAAGCCAUAGAUCAGGGGACAGCAAAAUCACAGGCAUGCCGUGCCGCCUGCAGCGUAAGAAAUGGAAAUCGAAGGAGGACAGGCGCGUACGUUGAGGGCGAGGAACUCGGGCUGCUUGUGGGCGCCGGUGGUGAGGUCGACGGGGACGACCUCGAAUUCGAGGCCCUUCUCGUUGAGCACGGUGGCCACGCGCACCACGUUGGGGGACAGCGGCAACCCGUACAGCUUCAGCGGUGCCAUCUCCCGAACCUUUCCUCCUCCUCCGAUCCGCUCCUCUCUCUCGUCGUUGGGCAAGGCAAGAGCAGGUCAAGUCAGCCGCACGCGUCCACACUGUGAUGGCCGACGGAUGGAUGGGUAGAUGGGGGAAGAAGGCGCUGUUUCUUAUAGACAGGACAGCGGAGCGGAGGCGACGGGUCCGCGC